UACGAAGGGGGCUAGCGUUGCUCGGAUUGACUGGGCGUAAAGGGCGCGUAAGCGGUUCGUACAGUCAGACGUGAAAUUCCUGGGCUCAACCUGGGGCUGCGUUUGAUACGUGCGGACUUGAGUGCGGAAGAGGGUCGUGGAAUUCCCAGUGUAGAGGUGAAAUUCGUAGAUAUUGGGAAGAACACCGGUGGCGAAGGCGGCGACCUGGUCCGAUACUGACGCUGAGGCGCGAAAGCGUGGGGAGCAAACAGG
rnacentral:rRNA from 1 species